GUGGGGCCUAUUGAGCACCUGCUGGACAGGUGAAGCCACAGUCGAAGGAGUCCAGGUGGAAGGUUCACCAAUGAGAUGGAGGACAGAAACACCAACGGGAGAUGCACAAAUACGAAUUUUACACGGACACAAAGACACCGAGAAGCUAUAAACCAACAAAAAGAGCUGCAGGAAUCAGAGCGGAGGGAGUCAUCUGUCUUCGCGCACCACCUUUGAGGCCCUGCAGCGUGCUGCCUUCACGUUCCUUUGGAAAUGUGAGCUUCCCCGGCUGCAGAGAGCUACCUGAAUCUCUCUCAUCUGAUCUCCGCUCGUUCGUUUCGAUUAAAAACACAAGUCAGCGUUUCCACCUGUCACCUGGUACAGCAGAUAGACAGUGAGACGGUGUAGUUUGGUAGAAAGAAAAUAGUUCCUACAUAAAACUGUUUGCCCUGACCUCCUGAUGGAGCUGCUGAGGUUUCAGUAUAUAUUUUUGGGAGUCAGCUCCAUCACGCUGAAGUAAAGGCAGGCAUCUCUGAAAGGUGGAGAGACUGAAUAUGUCUGAGCGCUUCCUUUAAUGCUGACUGUUUGAUUUCCAGAGGCUCUUGAAGGCAUCGGUAACUGAUACCUGUUCUCCAGGUGAAGCAGUGGGCGGAGCAAAGUGUGUGUGAGUCAGAUCAGGUGUUAUUUUCCAUCAUGUAACUGA